GGAGCCCUCUCUGGCUGAGUGUCGGAGCCCCAAAGGGAGAUGUACGCAAAGGUCUUUGAGAAGGAUGCCGACCGGCACAGUGACUGGCAUGGGUCCUGACUGGCAACAGCAUUGCCCUGGUGCUGGGAGGAGGAGGGGCCAGGGGCUGCUCCCACAUCGGGGUGAUCAAGGCCACGGAGGAAGCCGGGAUCCCCAUUGACCUGAUCGGGGGCACAUCCAUUGACUCCUUCAUCGGGGCUCUCUAUGCUGAAGAGCGCAGUGCUGUGCGCACCAAGCAGCGUGCCCGUGAAUGG